GCAACUCGCCUGCAUGAAGUCGGAAUUGCUAGUAAUCGCAGAUCAGCAUGCUGCGGUGAAUACGUUCCCGGGCCUUGUACACACCGCCCGUCACACCAUGGGAGCUGGUAACACCCGAAGUCAGUAGUCUAACCGCAAGGAGGACGCUGCCGGAAGGUGGGAUUAGCGACUGGGGUGAAGUCGUAACAAGGUAGC
rnacentral:rRNA from 1 species